rnacentral:rRNA from 1 species
GGUUAAGCGACUAAGCGUACACGGUGGAUGCCCUGGCAGUCAGAGGCGAUGAAGGACGUGCUAAUCUGCGAAAAGCGUCGGUAAGGUGAUAUGAACCGUUAUAACCGGCGAUGUCCGAAUGGGGAAACCCAGUGCAAUUCGUUGCACUAUCGUUAACUGAAUACAUAGGUUAACGAGGCGAACCGGGGGAACUGAAACAUCUAAGUACCCCGAGGAAAAGAAAUCAACCGAGAUUCCCCCAGUAGCGGCGAGCGAACGGGGAGCAGCCCAGAGUCUGAAUCAGCUUGUGUGUUAGUGGAACGGUCUGGAAAGUCCGACGGUACAGGGUGAUAGUCCCGUACACCAAAAUGCACAGGCUGUGAACUCGAAGAGUAGGGCGGGACACGUGGUAUCCUGUCUGAAUAUGGGGGGACCAUCCUCCAAGGCUAAAUACUCCUGACUGACCGAUAGUGAACCAGUACCGUGAGGGAAAGGCGAAAAGAACCCCGGCGAGGGGAGUGAAAAAGAACCUGAAACCGUGUACGUACAAGCAGUGGGAGCACCUUCGGGUGUGACUGCGUACCUUUUGUAUAAUGGGUCAGCGACUUAUAUUCUGUAGCAAGGUUAACCGUAUAGGGGAGCCGCAGGGAAACCGAGUCUUAACUGGGCGUUAAGUUGCAGGGUAUAGACCCGAAACCCGGUGAUCUAGCCAUGGGCAGGUUGAAGGUUGGGUAACACUAACUGGAGGACCGAACCGACUAAUGUUGAAAAAUUAGCGGAUGACUUGUGGCUGGGGGUGAAAGGCCAAUCAAACCGGGAGAUAGCUGGUUCUCCCCGAAAGCUAUUUAGGUAGCGCCUCGUGAACUCAUCUUCGGGGGUAGAGCACUGUUUCGGCUAGGGGGUCAUCCCGACUUACCAACCCGAUGCAAACUACGAAUACCGAAGAAUGUUAUCACGGGAGACACACGGCGGGUGCUAACGUCCGUCGUGAAGAGGGAAACAACCCAGACCGCCAGCUAAGGUCCCAAAGUCAUGGUUAAGUGGGAAACGAUGUGGGAAGGCACAGACAGCCAGGAUGUUGGCUUAGAAGCAGCCAUCAUUUAAAGAAAGCGUAAUAGCUCACUGGUCGAGUCGGCCUGCGCGGAAGAUGUAACGGGGCUAAACCAUGCACCGAAGCUGCGGCAGCGACACUAUGUGUUGUUGGGUAGGGGAGCGUUCUGUAAGCCUGCGAAGGUGGCCUGUGAGGGUUGCUGGAGGUAUCAGAAGUGCGAAUGCUGACAUAAGUAACGAUAAAGCGGGUGAAAAGCCCGCUCGCCGGAAGACCAAGGGUUCCUGUCCAACGUUAAUCGGGGCAGGGUGAGUCGACCCCUAAGGCGAGGCCGAAAGGCGUAGUCGAUGGGAAACAGGUUAAUAUUCCUGUACUUGGUGUUACUGCGAAGGGGGGACGGAGAAGGCUAUGUUAGCCGGGCGACGGUUGUCCCGGUUUAAGCAUGUAGGCUGGUUGUCCAGGCAAAUCCGGAUAAUCAAGGCUGAGGUGUGAUGACGAGGCACUACGGUGCUGAAGUAACAAAUGCCCUGCUUCCAGGAAAAGCCUCUAAGCAUCAGGUAACAUCAAAUCGUACCCCAAACCGACACAGGUGGUCAGGUAGAGAAUACCAAGGCGCUUGAGAGAACUCGGGUGAAGGAACUAGGCAAAAUGGUGCCGUAACUUCGGGAGAAGGCACGCUGGUGUGUAGGUGAAGCCCCUGCGGGUGGAGCUGAGACCAGUCGAAGAUACCAGCUGGCUGCAACUGUUUAUUAAAAACACAGCACUGUGCAAACACGAAAGUGGACGUAUACGGUGUGACGCCUGCCCGGUGCCGGAAGGUUAAUUGAUGGGGUUAUCCGUAAGGAGAAGCUCUUGAUCGAAGCCCCGGUAAACGGCGGCCGUAACUAUAACGGUCCUAAGGUAGCGAAAUUCCUUGUCGGGUAAGUUCCGACCUGCACGAAUGGCGUAAUGAUGGCCAGGCUGUCUCCACCCGAGACUCAGUGAAAUUGAACUCGCUGUGAAGAUGCAGUGUACCCGCGGCAAGACGGAAAGACCCCGUGAACCUUUACUAUAGCUUGACACUGAACAUUGAGCCUUGAUGUGUAGGAUAGGUGGGAGGCUUUGAAGCGUGGACGCCAGUCUGCGUGGAGCCAACCUUGAAAUACCACCCUUUAAUGUUUGAUGUUCUAACGUUGGCCCCUGACCGGGGUUGCGGACAGUGUCUGGUGGGUAGUUUGACUGGGGCGGUCUCCUCCCAAAGCGUAACGGAGGAGCACGAAGGUUAGCUAAUCCUGGUCGGACAUCAGGAGGUUAGUGCAAUGGCAUAAGCUAGCUUGACUGCGAGCGUGACGGCGCGAGCAGGUGCGAAAGCAGGUCAUAGUGAUCCGGUGGUUCUGAAUGGAAGGGCCAUCGCUCAACGGAUAAAAGGUACUCCGGGGAUAACAGGCUGAUACCGCCCAAGAGUUCAUAUCGACGGCGGUGUUUGGCACCUCGAUGUCGGCUCAUCACAUCCUGGGGCUGAAGUAGGUCCCAAGGGUAUGGCUGUUCGCCAUUUAAAGUGGUACGCGAGCUGGGUUUAGAACGUCGUGAGACAGUUCGGUCCCUAUCUGCCGUGGGCGCUGGAGAAUUGAGGGGGGCUGCUCCUAGUACGAGAGGACCGGAGUGGACGCAUCACUGGUGUUCGGGUUGUCAUGCCAAUGGCACUGCCCGGUAGCUAAAUGCGGAAGAGAUAAGUGCUGAAAGCAUCUAAGCACGAAACUUGCCCCGAGAUGAGUUCUCCCUGAGACUUUAAGUCUCCUGAAGGAACGUUGAAGACGACGACGUUGAUAGGCCGGGUGUGUAAGCGCAGCGAUGCGUUGAGCUAACCGGUACUAAUGAACCGUGAGGCUUAACCUU